AAACCAUCAUCGCCAUCAAAGCUGCUCGAUAUCUCAAUCGUUUCACUUUCUGCAACUUUUCUCUCCUCUCUGCAUCUCAAUCAAUGUCAUCCGCUGCCUCUUCCUCCAAAACCGACGACGCUGAAGCUCUACGCCGUAGCCGUAUUCUCUCUAGCCCCCUAUAUUACGAUGUGCCUCCUUCUAAGGUUCCGUUGAUAUACUCGUCAUCCUACGACAUUGCUUUUUUUGGGAUUGAAAAACUGCAUCCAUUUGACUCUUCUAAAUGGGGUCGAAUCUGUCGGUUUCUCACUAAGGAAGGUAUCAUGGACCAAAAGCAUGUAGUUGAGCCUGUGGAGGCAACUAAAGAUGAUCUGCUAGUGGUGCAUUCUGAAUCAUACCUGAAAAGUUUGAACAGCAGCUUGAAUGUCUCCAUGAUUAUUGAGGUCCCUCCUGUUGCGAUGCUUCCUAAUUGCCUUGUGCAAAAGAAAGUGCUCCACCCCUUCCGCAAGCAGGUGGGAGGAACAAUUUUGGCUGCAAAGCUUGCAAAAGAACGAGGAUGGGCUAUUAAUGUUGGUGGUGGAUUUCAUCAUUGCUCAUCAGAGAAGGGAGGCGGUUUUUGUGUUUAUGCUGAUAUAUCUCUUUGUAUACAUUUUGCAUUUGUGCGUCUAAAUAUCUCAAGGGUCAUGAUAAUUGACCUUGAUGCACACCAAGGAAAUGGCCAUGAAAUGGACUUCUCUGAUGACAGAAGAGUCUUUAUCCUUGAUAUGUACAAUCCCAGAAUUUAUCCACUUGAUUUUGAAGCCAGGCGUUACAUUGAUCUGAAAGUCGAAGUUAAGAGUGGGACUGCGACAGAUGAAUACUUAACUAAGCUAGAUCAUGCACUUGAGGUUGCAGAGAAGAGAUUUGAUCCUGAUUUCAUUGUUUAUAAUGCUGGUACUGAUAUCUUGGAUGGGGAUCCACUUGGCAGGUUGAAGGUACGACCCACCAAUGGGAA
rnacentral:misc_RNA from 1 species